CUCUACGGGGUGCCGUCACGUUUAAUAAAUUUAGAAGAAUGAGAAUUGAAUUACGGAUAGACGACCGGCGGGACCUAAAGGACAUUUUUCGUCCUUGGAAUAGGAUCGAGUCUGGCGCCCGUAAUGUCUCUUCGAGUGUCGACGAAGGAGCGAAAAGUGUAAAUAUAAAGCGGAUAUUUGGGCAGGUCCGACCUCGAAGGGACCCCCGAGUCGCUUACCGAAAUAACAAUAGUCCAUUGGAAACGACACUCGAGUAUUGUUGACGAAAUAAUAGUCGGAACCGAAAGCGAUUGUUUCGACAAACUCGAAACUUUAGUCGUUUCUAUUGUUCCCGGGAUUUGAUAAUUUCGAGGUUAAACCCUGGAAAAAAAUAGGAAAAAUACCCCUCGAAUACGUUGUAUAUCCUAUACAAAAUAUAAUACUUUGCUCUGGAGUUUAUAAAUAAAGACGAGCUGUUUGUUUUCCCGUCCGCGUGUCUGUUCGCCACGUAAUGUGUCGUAAAGCGCACGGACGAUUAAGCCAAUGCGGCGUAACGCGUUACGAUUUGGAGGGGGUAAUUCGUUACGGUGUAUAAAUCGAAGACUCCUUCUUUGGAUUUUUCCGCGAUAGACGAUUUUCCACUUCUACGAGAAUCGGAAUAGAGCAAAGCGCGAAUUCGAUCCUCCUUAACCUUCGACGGUCGUUUACGUAACCGGGGUUACGCAAGGUCGAUUAACGCCGGAAUUGCGUAACGUCUCCCUCCGACAAUAACAACGUUUACGAAUUUGUCCUUUUUACGAUUCGGUCCGGCGACGAACCAAAACUUAUUCGCGUGGCACCCGACCCGAGCACCCUAUAAAUAGGGAGGAAGGGACUCGGUGGCCGUAUCCGGAGAUCGAAAACAUGGAAGGAACUAAGUGGUUGAUAUUGCUGUCCCUGUUCGCCCUGGCCAGCUGCAGUUUCUAUUAUCCUUACGACGAUUCGUCAGUCACUUACUAUCAAGACCGUCACGACUAUCAUCACUACGGAUACGACCAUUACGGCCAUCACGAUCGCAGUUACUACUACCCUUACUACGGUUACUACGGUUACUACGGUUACAAUCCCUACGACUUCUUGUACGGACCCUACUCGUACGGUUCUGGAUACGUCAAUCAAUACGGAUAUUACAAAUAAAAGAUCGAGGAAAGGGAGGAAGAUUCCGCCGGUGCUCCGACGUUCCAGCUUCGGACGUUGUAAAAAUAGAGAAAUAAAGGGUUUUAACGUUGAAAAUAGUCUCGAAAU